UCGGAGCUUGCUUUAGGUGUGG
rnacentral:misc_RNA from 1 species